CCAGGGUGUGGCUCUGGUUUGCCUCGGCACAUGUCCCGUUAGCACUUUAACAGAACGUGUCUUCUGCUGCUUUGGAAUGGAGCGCUCUGUAAACAUCUUUUCUGUCCACUCCAUCAGUUUUUGGCUUGUAACGUUUAUGGCUCUGUGGUUGGUACAUGUACAUUUAUGAUGUGUGUGUUCAUGGAGAGUCGAAUCUUCUAUGAUCACGUGAGGUUCCCGCUUCACCUGCUGCGGACUUUCCCCUCUGCUUGUUUCUGUGCUUGCAAGGAAGAAACAACUUCCGGAAGGGCUCCUCUGGCUUCCCUUCUGCACCUGCCACGGCCACGGAGAAAAGCCCUGCUGCUCCGGCCCGGGCUCGUGCCACCGUUUCGGGAGGAGAACACGCCUUUUCAGAACCAGCCCAGGCCUGAUCUGACCGGCAGGCAGCAGACACAGGCCCCUCUGUCCGUGGAAGCGCAUCGACUCCUCUGCGGCGGUUUCGGGACGGAUGCAGGAGCAGGCACUCGGCUGCCCCGUGGCCAAGCGGGGACCGCUUCUGUCUCUCGUAGGGACAGACCAAUAGAGCUUCCUGUGAGCCCUUCAUAAGUGUCCGUGA